rnacentral:rRNA from 1 species
UACAGAGGUCUCAAGCGUUGUUCGGAUUCAUUGGGCGUAAAGGGUGCGUAGGUGGCGCCGUAAGUCAGGUGUGAAAUCUCGGGGCUUAACUCCGAAACUGCAUUUGAUACUGCGGUGCUUGAGGACUGGAGAGGAGACUGGAAUUUACGGUGUAGCAGUGAAAUGCGUAGAUAUCGUAAGGAAGACCAGUGGCGAAGGCGGGUCUCUGGACAGUUCCUGACGCUGAGGCACGAAGGCCAGGGGAGCAAACGGG